GCCUCUUCUCGGCUUUUUGGCUAAGAUCAAGGGUAGUAUCUGUUCUUAUCAGUUUCAUGCCAUUGGGCCAAACAAACCAGUAUGGAGCUGGUGGGGAUGGGUGCUGCAUGGAGGGGGCAGUUGUGCCGGGGCGUUCCGGGGCUGGUGCCACAUAACCAGCUCAACGGCUGCCCUGAUGUGACCUGUU